UAGAAAUUUGUUUCAAUCAAACCUGUUAUGAUUAAAGCAAAUCUCGUCUACCAACUAGGGUGCUCGCUGAGAUUGACUCCGAGCACUCUAGUUUUUUU
rfam:Lactococcus piscium MKFS47 genome assembly, chromosome: I